GACGAACGCUGGCGGCGUGCCUAAUACAUGCAAGUAGAACGCUGAAGAGAGGAGCUUGCUCUUCUUGGAUGAGUUGCGAACGGGUGAGUAACGCGUAGGUAACCUGCCUGGUAGCGGGGGAUAACUAUUGGAAACGAUAGCUAAUACCGCAUAAAAUUGAUUAUUGCAUGAUAAUUAAUUGAAAGAUGCAACUGCAUCACUACCAGAUGGACCUGCGUUGUAUUAGCUAGUUGGUGAGGUAACGGCUCACCAAGGCGACGAUACAUAGCCGACCUGAGAGGGUGAUCGGCCACACUGGGACUGAGACACGGCCCAGACUCCUACGGGAGGCAGCAGUAGGGAAUCUUCGGCAAUGGGGGGAACCCUGACCGAGCAACGCCGCGUGAGUGAAGAAGGUUUUCGGAUCGUAAAGCUCUGCUGUAAGAGAAGAACGGGUGUGAGAGUGGAAAGUUCACACUGUGACGGUAUCUUACCAGAAAGGGACGGCUAACUACGUG
rnacentral:rRNA from 1 species